AGAUAGAAAAAAAUAAGAAAACAUUAUGUAAAAGAUGAUACCCCCGAACAAACAUUUACAAACUUCAGUAACUUAACAUCUUCUCUAGUACUUCAAUUAAAAAAACUUCUUUCCAUAUCCCAUUCCCAAUUAAUAAUUAAGUUGUAAAAAAACAUCAUUCAGCAGAAGUGUAUUACCAGAAAUAGUUCCUGAUUUACAACAGUUCAUUUAAUUUAUGACAGUUUUUCACACUUACCAUUGCAGCAUGCCCUUGGUUAUGUGUGGUCAUGUGA